AUUGAACGCUGGCGGUAGGCCUAACACAUGCAAGUCGAACGGCGCGGCGGACGGGUGAGUAAUGCCUAGGAAUCUGCCUGGUAGUGGGGGAUAACUUCCGGAAACGGGAGCUAAUAACGCAGACUAGCAGGUGAGCCUAGGUGGGAUUAGCUAGUUGGUGGGGUAAAGGCCUACCAAGGCGACGAUCCGUAACGGGUCUGAGAGGAGGAUCCGUAACACUGGAACGGAGAAACGGUCCAGACUCCUACGGGAGGCAGCAGUGGGGAAUAUUGGACAAUGGGCGAAAGUCUGACCCAGCAAUGCCGCGUGUGUGAAGAAGGUCUUCGGAUUGUAAAGCACUUUAAGUUGGGAGGCGUUACCAACCGAAUAAGCAACGGCUAACUGCGUGCCAGCAGCCGCGGUAAUUC
rnacentral:rRNA from 1 species